AGCGUUGUUCGGAAUUACUGGGCGUAAAGCGCACGUAGGCGGAUAUUUAAGUCCGGGGUGAAAUCCCGCAGCUCAACUGCGGAACUGCCUUUGAUACUGGGUAUCUUGAGUAUGGAAGAGGUAAGUGGAAUUGCGAGUGUAG
rnacentral:rRNA from 1 species